UUCAGCCCUCAGACAGGCAGAAAGUGCCAGAUUUUCGAAAACCUACCAGUUAGUAGAUGUCCAGCAUUCCUUCCUGCCUGACCAUGUUUUUGCAUCUUGGAUUUCCCUGCCUUGCCUGACCCUCAUGGAUGUCUCUCCCCUCUGGAUCACGACCUUGUUUCUGCCUCUCGACCAAAGCCUCCUGCCUCACCCCUGGAUUUGUCUGCCUUAGUCUGCCUCCCUGGUUUCACCCAGUAACUGCCCCCCCCUUGACUACCGAGCCUUGGAUCUUUCCCCCUGUCCGCAAUCCGACUUCUGGCUGCGGCGUGUUCUGCACCGAUCCUCCCGGUCUGGAGACUGCCAGGACCGCACCCCGCAAAGGAGCCUAUUCUGAUUCCUCCGUCCUACACGGACUCUGUUAAGUGAUCCCGGGUUCCCGGCUGGUGGAGUCCUGAGUAUUUGUGCGCUGCUCCUGAAUAAAUCGUUUAACUUUUA